rnacentral:misc_RNA from 1 species
UGGGUAUGGGUGGGAUUGGUAAAAGCACCCUUGCUCAGUUUGCCUUCAAUGAUAGUAGAUUACAAGGGCAGUUUGAACUUUGAAAUCCAAGCAUGGGAUUGUGUUUCAGAAGAAUUUGAUGUCUUAAAGUUAACAAAAGUUAUCCUUGAAGAGGUCACUGGACAGGCUCUUGAUACCAAGACUCCAAUAAGUAGUCUAAAUCAGCUUCAACUCGAGCUAAAACGGAAAUUGGAGAUAAAAAAGUUUUUGCUUGUUUUGGAUGAUGUUUGGAGUGAUAAGCAGGCUGACUGGGAGAUUUUAGAGGCCCCUCUGAAGUUUGGGGGAGAGGGGAGUAAGAUUGUAGUUACAACCCGCAAUGAACAAGUAGCAUUAGCUGUGAACAGUGUUGCAACUUAUCACCUAACAGAAUUAAGUGUUGAUGAAUGUGGGUCAUUGUUCAAAAGGCGUGCAUUUCAUGAUGAAAAUUCAAGUUUACAUCCAGACUUGGAACAGAUUGGCAGAGAAAUAGUUAGAAAAUAUAAAGGGUUACCUUUCGCUGUAAAAACACUUGGAACUCUCUUGCGCAACAAAAGAGAUGUUAGCGAAUGGAAGAUGAUCUUAAUGAGCAAUCUGCGGAAUUUGUCUAAUGAUAAUAUAUUCUCAGCUAUAAAAUUGAGCUACUAUUAUCUCCCAUCAUAUCUCAAACGGUGUUUCGCUUAAUGUGGUUUGUUUCCAAAGGAUUAUGAGUUCCAAAAGGAGGAAUUAGUCCUUUUAUGGGUGGCAGAGGGUUUUCUAGUCCAACUCCAACCUAGAGUUAAUAAGGAAGCAGAAGAUAUAGGGAAUGAGUAUUUUUCUGAUCUCGUAUCACGGUCGCUUUUUCAACAAUCAAGUCGUUGCGAAUCAUCCUUCCUUAUGCAUGACCUCAUACAUGACUUUGCUAAAUUGGUAUCCGGAGAAUUUUGCUUAAGAUUGGAGGAUGAUGAUUCAUGCAGGACUCCUAAAACAAUUUGUCAUUUAUCUCUUUUAAGUUCAAAAUACAAAAUGAACUUUGAAGAAGUCUACAAAGGCCAUCCUGUGCGCACUUUAUUUUUGAAUGCUUAGCGGUGGUUGUCUUCCAUGGAUAAUGAAGACAUGCUUGACUUACUGUCAUCACUCAGGCACAGGCGAGUUUUAUAUUUGCAUAAUUAUUCUUUUGUAAUUAAUUGCUGCGAGUUGCCUAAAUCAAUAGGUAAUUUGAAGCACUUACGGUAUCUGAAUCUCGUUGUAUCAUCAAUUAGAAGAUUACCUGAAUCUGUGGCUAGUUUGUAUAAUUUGCAAACUUUAAUCUUUUACGGUUACAGAUCCCUUGUUGAACUGCCAUCCAACAUGGGAAGUUUAAUAAAUUUGUGUUAUCUUGACACAAGAUACACAAACAUGCAAGCAAUGCCGCGCAAAAUGGGUAAUCUAACAAAGCUUCUAAAGUUAUGUGAUUUCGUUGCCGGAAAGCGCUGGGCAAGCUUCAGCAUCUACGGGAACUUGGUAUUCUGAAUCUACAAAAUGUUGUUAGUGUUCAAGAUGCUUUGGAAGCCAAUUUGAAGAACAAAAAGUGCCUUAAGAUGUUGAAGUUAAAUUGGGCUUAUCUAACAGAGGAGAAGCAUGCGAGAGCUUUACUCGGGCAAUUACAGCCUCAGGCCAGUGUGGAACAGCUUAUUAUCUGUCGUUAUGGGGGUACAAGAUUUCCAGAUUGGGUAGGAGACUCUUCCUUCUCAAAUUUAGUAUCCUUGAAACUCGAUCAAUGUAAAAAUCGCUCAUGCUUGCCAUCACUGGGGCAUUUAGAAUCUCUUAAAGACCUCUCAGUCACAGCAUUUGAUGGAGUUUCAUCUGUUGGUCCUGAGUUCUAUUUCCUAUUUCCUUCCCUUACCCAUUUGAAAAUAGUUAAUUGUCCUGAAGUGGAGUCAUUUCUAGCUGAAGUUUUGCCCUUGAAAUUAGAAUCCCUGGAGAUUUGUCACUGCAACUAACUCAUUGCUGGCCUCAUGCAAUGCCAUUUGCAUAUGCUCCCCUCUCUCGUGCAUUUCACAAUUGCUGGAUUUGAUGAUGUGGAAUUCUUCCCAGAAGAGACAUUGCUUCCUUCCCCCCUUACCUCCCUUCAUAUUCUGGAUCUUAGAAAUCUGAGAUCUCUGCAGCUUCAGCAGUUCAUCUCUCUUAGAGAAUUGGAGAUAAGUGGUUGCCCAAAGCUUGAGGCAUAUGCUCCCCUCUCUCGUGCAUUUCACAAUUGCUGGAUUUGAUGAUGUGGAAUUCUUCCCAGAAGAGACAUUGCUUCCUUCCCCCCUUACCUCCCUUCAUAUUCUGGAUCUUAGAAAUCUGAGAUCUCUGCAGCUUCAGCAGUUCAUCUCUCUUAGAGAAUUGGAGAUAAGUGGUUGCCCAAAGCUUGAGGCCUUGCCAGGAGGGAGGUCUUUGAUUGCCCUUUGUUGAAACAAAUGUGUACAGAGGAGGAUGGAAAAGCCUGCACAAAGAUUUCUCACGUUCCCUGCAUUGUUAUUGGUGAUUAAAAGACUGAACAAUCUUUCUUCUUCAUUAAUCCAAUGUGAUCAGGUGAAUCACAUUGGCUGUUGGCAUAUGCAUUUUGUGAAACAAAUCAAACUGAUAAUUAAAUGAGGUAAUUGAGCCAAUUGGAGAUUGAGUUUAUAAUUAGAAGGUAUUUGCUCCACUUCCAAUUGGAUUUACUGCAUUCACGGUUCACUUGGCCACCAUUCCAGUCACAGGCGUUGGCAUCAUCAUGGCUAGGAGACUCUUGGAGUCUGCUGUUAUCUACGGUCAAGAUAAGGCCUGAGAUGAGAUGAAUAAGUCUGUAGAUUAUGCUAAUUUUGUCAAUUACCUAAAGGUACUUAGUUCUUGCAACUUUUUUCUUCCAGUGUUUUGUUUUUUUUGGCUCAGACCCUUCAUGGGUGCAGCCGUUGAAGGUUCUGUUACCAAUUCAUCUUGAGAACAGCACCUGUUAAGUAUCCUGCGUCAUUCAGGAGCAACCCCAGUGUUUAAUUUUGCAAGGAAAUGUUUUGUUAAAAUGAACGAUGAAGAGGUGAUGAGCUUUAGUGAUUUCUUUAGCCCAAGGAUCCCCAUUCCAUUUUUAUGUUAAUUUUAGUUGUAUUGAAUGCAAUAAGAUGUCUUGAGAUUAUUUUGAAUUUAUU